rnacentral:rRNA from 1 species
ACAUUUAAUGUUAAAUAGCUGCGGUAUCCUGACCGUGCAAAGGUAGCAUAAUCAUUAGUUUUUUAAUUGGAAGCUAGUAUGAAUGGUUGAACAAGGAAAAAUCUGUCUUUUUUAUUAAAAUUGAAAUUAACUUUUAGGUGAAAAGGCUUGAAUUAUCUAGAGGGACGAUAAGACCCUAUAAAGCUUAAUAAAUUUAAAUAUUUUAAAUAUUUUAUAUUAUAAAUUUCUUUGUUAAUGAUUUAUUUAGUUGGGGCGACAAUGGUAUAAAUAUAAAUAACUGCUAUUAAUAUUAAACAAUUAUAUUUGAUUAAAGAUGAAUACAUUUAUAUAAAUUGAUCCCUUUUAAGGAUUAAAAGAUCAAGUUACUUUAGGGAUAACAGCGUAAUUUUUUCUGAGAGUUCUUAUCAAAGAAAAAGUUUGCGACCUCGAUGUUGAAUUAAAAUGUCUAUACGGUGCAGCAGCCGUGCAAGAAGGUCUGUUCGACCUUUAAUUUUUUACGUGAUC